rnacentral:rRNA from 1 species
ACGUAGGGUGCAAGCGUUGUCCGGAAUUAUUGGGCGUAAAGAGCUCGUAGGCGGUUCGUCGCGUCGGCUGUGAAAUCCCGAGGCUCAACCUCGGGUCUGCAGUCGAUACGGGCGGACUGGAGUUCGGCAGGGGAGACUGGAAUUCCUGGUGUAGCGGUGAAAUGCGCAGAUAUCAGGAGGAACACCAAUGGCGAAGGCAGCUCGCUGGGACGGUACUGACGCUGAGGCGCGAAAGCGUGGGGAGCAAACAGGA